GAGUUUGGUCCUGGCUCAGGAUGAACGCUGGCGGCGUGCUUAACACAUGCAAGUCGAACGGUGAACACGGAGCUUGCUCUGUGGGAUCAGUGGCGAACGGGUGAGUAACACGUGAGCAACCUGCCCCUGACUCUGGGAUAAGCGCUGGAAACGGCGUCUAAUACCGGAUAUGUGACGUGAUCGCAUGGUCUGCGUCUGGAAAGAAUUUCGGUUGGGGAUGGGCUCGCGGCCUAUCAGCUUGUUGGUGAGGUAAUGGCUCACCAAGGCGUCGACGGGUAGCCGGCCUGAGAGGGUGACCGGCCACACUGGGACUGAGACACGGCCCAGACUCCUACGGGAGGCAGCAGUGGGGAAUAUUGCACAAUGGGCGCAAGCCUGAUGCAGCAACGCCGCGUGAGGGAUGACGGCCUUCGGGUUGUAAACCUCUUUUAGCAGGGAAGAAGCGAAAGUGACGUACCUGCA
rnacentral:rRNA from 1 species